rnacentral:lncRNA from 1 species
AGGAGAAGGAAAUGGCUGAUCACUCCAGUAUCUUUGCCAUGAAAACCCCAAAUGGGAUCAUGAAGAGUUGAACAUAACUGAAAAAACUGAACAACAACAAAGAACAAUAUGGCUUCCACAAUUACUGCCUUCCUUGACUUGAUGGAAGAUCAAUAGAGUGAUCAACCAUGGUGGAUCUCCUACUUCCUACAAAGACAUAAAAAUUAAAGCUGAGAGAAGUUCCAUGACCUGUCUAAUGUCACAUGAUAAAUUAGUGGCAGAACCAGUACCAAAACCCAGAUGUUUCUGAUUCUCAGUCAGGGCUGUGCCGGAGCCAGUCUAAACUAGCUUUUCAAAGCCAAUUGUUAAAUUUUUCAGCAUGAGCACUUACAUCUCAGAAACAAUUCUGGAUUUGAUUUAU